rnacentral:misc_RNA from 1 species
AAGUCGUAACAAGGUUUCCGUAGGUGAACCUGCGGAAGGAUCAUUAAUAUUCACAAACGCAUCCAAAAUCCUUUUGGAUGUAAACCCCUUUAGCGAACUUGUUUGUCUUCGUGGGAACAAAAACUGGAGCCAGGAGGGCAACCUCUUGUCUUCAGUCUCACGAAUGAUCUAUUUUUUUUUCUCCUUUUCUAUUUUAACCCAAUGAAACUUUUUGACUAAAAAACUUGUUGCACGCACAUAACUGUGUGGACAACGAAAAACAAAACGCUAAAACAACUUUUAACAACGGAUAUCUUGGCUCUC